UACGUAGGGCGCAAGCGUUUGUCCGGAAUUAUUGGGCGUAAAGAGCUCGUAGGCGGUUUGUCGCGGUCUGCUGUGAAAACCUAAGGCUCAACCUUGGGCUUGCAGUGGGUACGGGCAGACUAGAGUGCGGUAGGGGUGACUGGAAUUCCUGGUGUAGCGGUGGAAUGCGCAGAUAUCAGGAGGAACACCGGUGGCGAAGGCGGUUCUCUGGGCAUGUCCU
rnacentral:rRNA from 1 species